GACGAACGCUGGCGGCGUGCUUAACACAUGCAAGUCGAACGGAAAGGCCCUGCUUGCAGGGUGCUCGAGUGGCGAACGGGUGAGUAACACGUGGGUGAUCUGCCCCUUACUCUGGGAUAAGCCUGGGAAACUGGGUCUAAUACUGGAUAGGACCAUGCUGUAGGUGGUGUGGUGGAAAGAUUAGUUUCGGUAAGGGAUGAGCUCGCGGCCUAUCAGCUUGUUGGUGGGGUAAUGGCCUACCAAGGCGUCGACGGGUAGCCGGCCUGAGAGGGUGGACGGCCACAUUGGGACUGAGAUACGGCCCAGACUCCUACGGGAGGCAGCAAUGGGGAAUAUUGCACAAUGGGCGCAAGCCUGAUGCAGCGACGCCGCGUGGGGGAUGACGGCCUUCGGGUUGUAAACUCCUUUCAGCCAUGACGAAGCCUUCGGGUGACGGUAGUGGUAGAAGAAGCACCGGCUAACUACGUG
rnacentral:rRNA from 1 species